UCAACAUGCGCGACGUGGUAAGUAGUAG
rnacentral:sRNA from 1 species